rnacentral:rRNA from 1 species
GACGAACGCUGGCGGCGUGCUUAACACAUGCAAGUCGAACGGAAAGGCCCUGCUUUUGUGGGGUGCUCGAGUGGCGAACGGGUGAGUAACACGUGAGUAACCUGCCCUUGACUUUGGGAUAACUUCAGGAAACUGGGGCUAAUACCGGAUAGGAGCUCCUGCUGCAUGGUGGGGGUUGGAAAGUUUCGGCGGUUGGGGAUGGACUCGCGGCUUAUCAGCUUGUUGGUGGGGUAGUGGCUUACCAAGGCUUUGACGGGUAGCCGGCCUGAGAGGGUGACCGGCCACAUUGGGACUGAGAUACGGCCCAGACUCCUACGGGAGGCAGCAGUGGGGAAUAUUGCACAAUGGGCGGAAGCCUGAUGCAGCAACGCCGCGGGAUGACGGCCUUCGGGUUGUAAACCGCUUUCGCCUGUGACGAAGCGUGAGUGACGGUAAUGGGUAAAGAAGCACCGGCUAACUACGUG